CCCAGAGGUCCUGUGUAGCUAUCCCUGUUAUCCCAGAGGUCCUGUGUAGCUAUCCCUGUUAUCCCAGAGGUCCUGUGUAGCUAUCCCUGUUAUCCCAGAGGUCCUGUGUAGCUAUCCCUGUUAUCCCAGAGGUCCUGUGUAGCUAUCCCUGUUAUCCCAGAGGUCCUGUGUAGCUAUCCCUGUUAUCCCAGAGGUCCUGUGUAACUAUCCCUGUUAUCCCAGAGGUCCUGUGUAGCUAUCCCUGUUAUCCCAGAGGUCCUGUGUAGCUAUCCCUGUUAUCCCAGAGGUCCUGUGUAGCUAUCCCUGUUAUCCCAGAGGUCCUGUGUAGCUAUCCCUGUUAUCCCAGAGGUCCUGUGUAGCUAUCCCUGUUAUCCCAGAGGUCCUGUGUAGCU